AAGAGACGUUGCCCUUCGGGGUAUACCUCCCACCCUUUGUUUAUUAUACCUUUGUUGCUUUGGCGGGCCCGUCCUCGGACCACCGGCUUCUGCUGGUCAGUGGCCCGCCAGAGGACCUAAAACUCUGUUUGUUAAUAUUGUCUGAGUACUAUAUAAUAGUUA
rnacentral:misc_RNA from 1 species